rnacentral:rRNA from 1 species
GAUGUUUGAUCAUGGCUCAGGAUGAACGCUAGCGGCAGGCCUAAUACAUGCAAGUCGAACGAUACCAGAGAGCUUGCUUUCUGGGAAAGUGGCGCACGGGUGCGUAACGCGUAUGCAACCUACCUUAAUCAGGGGGAUAGCCUCUCGAAAGAGAGAUUAACACCGCAUAACAUCAUUUUACGGCAUCGUAGAAUGAUCAAAUAUUUAUAGGAUUAAGAUGGGCAUGCGUGACAUUAGCUAGUUGGUGAGGUAACGGCUCACCAAGGCUACGAUGUCUAGGGGAUCCGAGAGGAUGACCCCCCACACUGGUACUGAGACACGGACCAGACUCCUACGGGAGGCAGCAGUAAGGAAUAUUGGUCAAUGGAGGCAACUCUGAACCAGCCAUGCCGCGUGCAGGAAGACGGCCCUAUGGGUUGUAAACUGCUUUUAUACGGGAAUAAACCUCUCUACGUGUAGGGAGUUGAAUGUACUGUAAGAAUAAGGAUCGGCUAACUCCGUGCCAGCAGCCGCGGUAAUACGGAGGAUCCAAGCGUUAUCCGGAUUUAUUGGGUUUAAAGGGUGCGUAGGCGGCCUAUUAAGUCAGGGGUGAAAGACGGUGGCUCAACCAUCGCAGUGCCCUUGAUACUGAUGGGCUUGACUACACUUGAGGUAGGCGGAAUGUGACAAGUAGCGGUGAAAUGCAUAGAUAUGUCACAGAACACCAAUUGCGAAGGCAGCUUACUAAGGUGUCAAUGACGCUGAGGCACGAAAGCGUGGGGAUCAAACAGGAUUAGAUACCCUGGUAGUCCACGCCCUAAACAAUGAAUACUCGAUGUUAGCGAUAUACAGUUAGCGUCAAAGCGAAAGCGUAAGUAUCCAC